AAGAAAGUAGAAAAGGGCGUACGGGGGAUGCCUAGGCUCUCAGAGGCGAUGAAGGACGUGAUAAGCUGCGAUAAGCUGCGGGGAAGUGCAAAUAACUAUUAAUCCGCAGAUUUCCGAAUGGGACAACCCAGUAUAUUGAAGAUAUACUAUCCAUUUAUGGAGGCAAACCCGGGGAACUGAAACAUCUAAGUACCCGGAGGAAGAGAAAACAAAAGUGAUUUCCUAAGUAGUGGCGAGCGAACGGGAA
rnacentral:rRNA from 1 species